AUUAAGAAACAGUAGGGAGAUGUCAGUGAUGGUCCAAGUGCAUUUGAGGGCAGGAAAGUUAGAGUCACACA